rnacentral:rRNA from 1 species
CCAAUAGCGUAUAUUAAAGUUGUUGCAGUUAAAAAACUCGUAGUUGAAUUUCGGGAUUGACGUGAUGGUCAUGCCUUAAGGGGUAUGAACUGUCACAGUUGAUUUCUCACCUUCUGGAGAAACUUGAUGUCCUUUAUUGGGUGUCUUGCGGAUCCAGGACCUUUACCUUGAAAAAAUUAGAGUGUUUAAAGCAGGCAUUUUUGCUCGAAUACAUUAGCAUGGAAUAAUAGAAUAGGACGGCAUGGUUCUAUUUUGUUGGUUUCUAGGAUCACCGUAAUGAUUAAUAGGGAUAGUUGUGGGCAUUAGUAUUCAAUUGUCAGAGGUGAAAUUCUUGGAUUUAUUGAAGACUAACUACUGCGAAAGCAUUUGCCAAGGAUGUGUUCAUUAAUCAAGAACGAAAGUUAGGGGAUCGAAGACGAUCAGAUACCGUCGUAGUCUUAACCAUAAACUAUGCCGACUAGGAAUCAGACGAUGUUAAUUUUUUAAUGACUCGUUUGGCACCUUAC